CAGCAGCCACGGUAAAACGGAGGGUGCAAGCGUUAAUCGGAAUUACUGGGCGUAAAGCGCACGCAGGCGGUCUGUUAAGUCAGGGGUGAAAUCCCGGGGCUCAACCCCGGAACUGCCUUUGAUACUGGGUGUCUAGAGUAUGGAAGAGGUGAGUGGAAUUCCGAGUGUAGAGGUGAAAUUCGUAGAUAUUCGGAGGAACACCAGUGGCGAAGGCGGCUCACUGGUCCAUUACUGACGCUGAGGUGCGAAAGCGUGGGGAGCAAACAGGAUUAGAUACCCCGGUAGUCCCUGUCUCUUAUAC
rnacentral:rRNA from 1 species